CGGUGACUGUUUUAUAAAAUAUUGUUUCAGUCCCGCUCUUUAACUUAAAUGUCUCUCUCUCUCUCUCUCCAGUCUCCCCCCCUCCCCUCUCUCUUCAAAAACCAGAUCUGCGACCCUCACAACCCCCUCCGUUUCCAACCAUCACUGAUGGCCUCUCCUUCUAUCUUUUUCAUGUUAUCUGCACUUUCCUUCACACAUGGGUCUGAUCAAUUUUAUAACAGUUGUAUUGUUUGGCUGUUAAAACCCUCUGCCAACCUCAUCUCUCAGGUAUAGUUUCUGGGUUUGAGUUUUUAUUGAUUUGAGAUGGACUUUGAAUUGGGUUUUCCUGAGGAGACCAAUCUUGUAUCUUUCUUAGUACUGCUAAUAUCUACUAAUACUACUGCAUCUAACAAUAUUGAAUCGCUGCAUGAAGUACCACUUGAAAGGAGCUUUCUGUUAGAUUUAUUUGAUCCGAAUCCCAUUUUACAUGAUGGAACUUUCUGUUGUACUUUACUGUAUAUGAAUAUCUCUUUAAAGGUAGUCAUAUGCUUCUUCUUUCUUAUCUUGCUCCUGCAGUUUGCUUCAACAAGGAAUGAAACAAAUAAUAAUAAGCCCAGAAACCUCUGAAGCUAAAGCAUUAGAGAAGGUGGAGGAUAAGUCCAAAGUUGCCAGGGCAUUGAAGGAAAGUGUUCUCCAUCAAAUAUGUGAGGCAAAGCCAUUGGCUUUGAUCAUUGAUUGGAAUUCACUCCUGUCUAACAAAAAGAAGAGAACUGUGAUGUAUUUCUUUGUAUUUUGCUGCUGAGUUAACUGACUAAUUUUUGUGCAAGCUGAUUUACUUAGCAACUUGGAUAAUUACUGCUUACUCAUUUCCUUUGCAAUUUGGGCUUUUGUUAAUUGUUUUUAUACCCUAUACUAAUAUUUGUGUAUGUUGUUAUUAAUUGCAGGCACAUACUAUACUAGAUUUCCCAACUUUCUUGCUUGUUAGCUCAAUAGAAAAUAGUUGAUUGAGCCUUCAAACAUUUAAAACCAAUUGCAGGUGCUUGGCAGCAAAGGGUGAAGAGUCUGGUGAAUGUGAAAGAUAUUCCAAAUAUUAUCGUUCGCCAUGCCCAGGUGAAUGGGCAAGUAUUUCUUAGCUCAUUUCUUCUGCAAUUAUUUGUCUUCCAAUAAAAUCUGAUUGGAAGUUUAACUUCUUCUGUUAAACUUUUUCAUAAAUGUAUUAAAUUGUUGGUACUUUACUCAUACGUAGAUUGUCAUUGCAUAAACUGUGACAUGACUGUGUAAGGAUUGCUUAAUCUGAACUUUAACUUGCAGCAUAGCCCUGGCAAAGUUUGCACCAGAAUCACAGGGCACACUGAAUUUUAAGUUUGGAACUUCUUCUGGAGCUGUAUCUUAGCCUUGAGAACUUUUUAGUUAGAAACUUGUAUGUGAUAACAGUACUAUUGGGAUGGAGUGGGUUAUGUAAUGCUGUAUUGGGUUUGAUUUAUAAUACUCAUAGUGACAUUACUGUAAUCUCUAUGGUACAAUGAAUGAAGUUAUUAAUUUUAUUUUCA